UACGUAGGGUGCGAGCGUUAAUCGGAAUUACUGGGCGUAAAGAGCUCGUAGGCGGCUUGUCACGUCGGGUGUGAAAGCCCGGGGCUUAACCCCGGGUCUGCAUUCGAUACGGGCUAGCUAGAGUGUGGUAGGGGAGAUCGGAAUUCCUGGUGUAGCGGUGAAAUGCGCAGAUAUCAGGAGGAACACCGGUGGCGAAGGCGGAUCUCUGGGCCAUUACUGACGCUGAGGAGCGAAAGCGUGGGGAGCAAACAGG
rnacentral:rRNA from 1 species